CUGGGGAAUACAUAAAGCGAUUCAUCACGUGUGUGGUCUUGUAAGUUGUACAUUUAAUUUCUGAGAUGCUUAUAUAUAUGAGCCUGGAGCACAAAAGCAGUCAUAAGCAGCACAGGUAUAUUUGUAGCAAUAGCCAACAAUACAUUGUAUGGGUCAAAAUUAUAGAUUUUUCUUUUAUGCCAAAAAUCAUUAGGAUAUUAAGUAAAGAUCAUGUUCCAUGAAGAUAUUUUGUAAAUUUCCUACCAUAAAUAUAUCAAAACUUCAUUUUUAAUCAGUAAUAUGCAUUGCUAAGAACUCAUCCACCACCAGUGUGCAGCAUCCACCUGGAUGAGAUCUGGGUUAUUCAGUAGGAAUGAGACACACAUGCAGUACAACAGUAAAUCUUCCUGUAAUGGAAAAAACUGAAUGCAAAUACUUUGAAAACAGUUUUUGAUAUGCUCUAGUUAUUUGUGUAAGCUAAAUCAGCAGUGGACUUGUUUGUGGCCUAAUAUGGUAUUAAAUCUCUUUAUUCUUGCUGUGGCCAAACCUAUAAUAGGAUCUCAUCAUCAGAGAUUUGCACCAUCAGUUAUUGUAAUGAAAAUAACAAAGACAAGAUCCAUUUUAACAGAAAGAAAAGAAGCUAAACCAGUUCAGGCACUUUCUUCAGUUGCUUCAUGCGUCAUAGAAGCUGAUUGAAAUAUUUACUCAGUCAUUUCCUGGUAGAAUCUGCUGUUCUUUGCUGUGAUUGCUGGAGGUUUGACGUUUCAGUAGCUGCCUGCUUCAAGGAUUUAAAUGAAAAAGAAAAAAAAAAUCAGAAAAAAGGAAUAAAUAUUUCCAGAUCUGGAUUUAGUAGGAUGACAGGAAAACUAAAAGAGAUGCCAGUGAGAGAACAAAAUACAGCUGGAGAAAAAGAAAAGCGGAGAAAGGAAACAGCACUGAGAGACAAACCUGCACAGAAGCAAACAACAAUGAAGAGAGGAAAAGAAAACGCCUGUGGAUUGAGAGAACAUCAAAAAGUGCACCAGAUGAACAGUCUUGACAAAUAUCGACCAGAGUUCUCUCUUCAUCCAGACUGACCUGCAGAGUGUCAUUCUGUGUGAGAGAAAUGCAAGAAUGAGAAAGAAGCCGUUUUCUCACCUAGAAUGCUCUUCACGUCACUUUCAGUCAGUGAUUCAGAAUGAGACUGGAAUACAAAACACCAAUAUUUUUAAGUUCAUAACUUGAUGACUAUAACUGUACUAUGUACAUAUUUAAACAUAUAGAUUUAAUAUUGUGUACACAGGUGUCAUAUGAUGAUAUAAUCAGUCGGUGCUAAAGCACUAACACUGAAAUUGUAAAACUGUAAACUGUAGCUGUACAUAGUUCUCAUUUCUAUUAUGAGAACAAUGACUGUAAAGCAAUAGUUGUUCCAGAAACACCAGAUCACUCUUUUCCAUGUGAUUAUACAGUGAAUGGAGACUUCCUAACGCUUCAUGGUUUGGUUUGUGGACAAAUUGUCUAGAUUUUUACUAUAGUCCAGUGACUUCAGGCACUUUGUUCUGGUAUGCAGAAGAUGAUUUUUCUUUAAACAAGUCAUUAUACUGUACUUGUACUUUCCGUUUAGAAGGUGUUUAUAUCUGAAGCAUCUAGUAACUGGUGUCAUGUGUCUCGUUCAGGUGCACAAUGAUCUCUGUUUUUGAACUAAAUGAUCACUGGAAUUGAGUUUCUGUAUUAUUUUGAUUCUGUUCACUUUGUGAAAGGUUAUGAAAGUGUCCAAGUGUACAUUACACUGUCCUCAUUCCUGAACAGGUGUUUGUUCUCAGUCAUCAUGAUGAUUACCCAAGUGUCUGUAGCUUUGCAAUGCAAAAUAAAUAUUUCACUUUACCCAACAAAAAUGACCUUCUAUAGCUUGACUUGUCACAUAGAAAGAUAAAGAAUAUCUAAAGUAAUCAACACUCUUAAAAAUAAAGGUGCUUAAAAGGUUCUUCACAGUGAUGCCAUAGAAGAACCAUUUUUGGUUCCACAAAGAACCAUUCAGUCAAAGGUUC